rnacentral:rRNA from 1 species
GAUGAACGCUGGCGGCGUGCCUAAUACAUGCAAGUCGAGCGAACGGACGCGAAGCUUGCUUCUCUGAUGUUAGCGGCGGACGGGUGAGUAACAAGUGGACAACCUACCUAUAAGACUGGGAUAACUUCGGGAAACCGGAGCUAAUACCGGAUAAUAUUUUGAACCGCAUGGUUCAAAAGUGAAAGACGGUCUUGCUGUCACUUAUAGAUGGAUCCGGGCGGCAUUAGCUAGUUGGUAAGGUAACGGCUUACCAAGGCAACGAUGCAUAGCCGACCGGAGAGGGUGAUCGGCCACACUGGAACUGAGACACGGUCCAUACUCCUACGGGAGGCCGCAGUAGGGAAUCUUCCGCAAUGGGCGAAAGCCUUACGGAGCAGCGCCGCGUGAGUGAUGAAGGUCUUCGGAUCGUAAAACUCUGUUAUUAGGGAAGAACAUAUGUGUAAGUAGCUGUGCACAUCUUGACGGUACCUAAUCAGAAAGCCACGGCUAACUACGUG